UUAGUGCUCCUAAGAGGCUAUUAUCAAGAGUUUUGCAGUUAUCCUGGUCUUGGCUGAUCAGUGUGGUUUGUGAUUCAGGCUGUCCCAUGGUCUAUCCUUGGCACUUUCAAUCUGACCAGACUUAGGCUGAGGCUGUAGCUGAGGCAAUUGAAAGUGUCAGAGAGCAGGGCUGAGGUUAGGGGAAACUUACCAACUCAUCGCUCUGGUACUGGAAUGCCUUCCGUGGAAACCCUCUGACUAAGCCUUCCGUAUCAUGCUUUGCUAAACUUCUUAGACUGAGAGAGUUCAUAUAUGGGAAUAAGAUGCCUCGGGUCUUUAAACUUUGAUCUCUCAUACACAGAAACACAUCAUGGGGUGAUGUGGGUUUAGCCUGUUUCUGUUUUCCCACCUUUCUUGAACGUCAUCUCUCCUGGUUAAAAAAUGCCAUGCUCACACGAUCAAGAGUUUGUGAUAAAGAUUUCCAGUCCCUACAACGACAUUUAAGAUGUUUCUGUUUCGGAGACUGUUUGGUACUUUUGUCAUUACCUCAGUGCAGUUGUCCUUGAUAUAAACAGAAAGGCUUUAAAAAAUUCAGUGAAUUCCAGUGUUGGUUAGCAUUAGUAUUGGCUCAUUCUGAGAGUCAUAUUGACCUCAAAGUGGAAGUUUAUCUUUUGAGGUUGCUAUGACUUUGGGGAGGAGGAUAGAUAUUGGAAAUUUCCAUGGAGAAUACUGCUUGGUUGACUUGUUUUUCUUCUCCAUGAUGUUAGAAGGAAAAUCUCCCAGACCAGAUGGCUUCCUCUUCAGUGAAAGUGGUGGCCCAUCUGCAGUGGUGCUGGUUUUACCAACAAAAGAACUCCAAGAGGGUGAUUCAUCUGGGACCCAGCCUUGGGAUGGGAAGAUGGUGGUUCUGCUGGUUUACAGGUGAACCCAGAACCAGAGAGGACAUUGACAGCUUGGAAAACCAGCGUGAAUUGGUAUGGUUACUACAGCUGGAGCUGGGCCGGGCUGGAGCCGGGCAUCAGGAGCUCAAUCCAGGUCUCCCACAUGGGUGGAAAGGACCCAACAGCCUGAGCCAACACUGUUGCUUCUCUACAUCUGCAUUAGCAGGAAACUGGAGUCAGGAGCCCGGAGUUUGUAACCCAUGACAGCUAGGAAAUUGGAAGUUUUCUUUGGGACUUGAGGUGUCCAUCUGUUGGAAGGACUGAGUUAUAGCAUCAGCAGAGUGAGCCAGCUUUCUCCAAAGCGGAUGCUGUCUUAGACCUGGUCGCCUCCCUUCUAUAGCUGAGAACAGUACACACCCAAGAAAUACAAGGGCAUUUCAGAUGUUUGUGAAGAAAUGGAAUUAAGAGUCAAGUUUAUUUUGGUGCAAAAAUUUUGAAAUCCGUGCAUAAUUUUUAUCACAAUGUACAUUCUCUGCCUUCACAUAUGUUUAGUCACUGAAUUUAAAAAAAAAAGAGAUUUUCAAAUUCCUGUCUCUAUUAAGCCUUGUGGGAAUUACGUAUCUUCCAUUCUCUCGCUCUAAGUGUGUUUGUCCACAAGAUACUCUGUUGGCUUCACAGCACUGACAAAGCCCUUGCCUCACUGACUCAAGUUGAGCGGUCAGAGCGUUAGAACUCGGAUGGGAAUUUCUCGUUUCCUGUUCAAAUGCACCUGCACUGGGAGAACAUUGUAGACGGAUCACUAGAUGUGGAGGUCGCCCAGCAAGAGUCCCCUUUGUUUCACUUCUGCAUUUCUGCGCCUCUUUCUUUAUUAUUUUAGAGCACAAAUUCCUCUCCUCUUCCUAUGUGGUGAAGGUUUUCUUUCCUUUUUAUGAUUUUGCUCUGUCAAUUCUCUCUCUCUCAAGAGUGUGUCAAAUGUGCAUCCUCCCUUACCUAUACCCACGUUCAUGUUGCUCCUUUUUUUUUUUUUGACAGGCAGAGUGGACAGUGAGAGAGAGAGAGACAGAGACAAAGGUCUUCCUUUUGCCAUUGGUUCACCCUCCAAUGGCUGCCGCGCUGCGGCUGGCGCACUGCGCUGAUCCAAAGCCAGGAGCCAGGUGCUUCUCCUGGUCUCCCAUGGGGUGCAGGGCCCAAGCACUUGGGCCAUCCUCCAGGCCACAGCAGAGAGCUGGAUUGGAAGAGGGGCAACCGGGAAAGAAUCCAGCGCCCCAAUGGGGACUAGAACCCG